GCCGGCCUGGGAGAUCGGCUGGACACCGGCGGCCUGCAGCUUCGCGAACGCGGCGACCAGGUCGUCCCAGGUGGCCGGCAC
rnacentral:tRNA from 1 species